UCCCCUGAAAGAUCAAUUCAAUAAUUAGAAUCGGUCUACACCAUACCGACUUACUGAACUUGUUUAUAUAUUCGUUUUCAUCGUUAUAGAUUAAACGCUGCAUAAUACAAUCAAUCUGCAUAGUUGAUGAUGUUAAUUCAAUUUUUUUUCUCAAAAACGCUUUGAAGUUUAUAUCAAAAGUGUGUAUUCUCUAAUAGGGUACUUAAUGAGUUCACAAGAACAAGGAAACAACAGAAUGCAUCGACUUCCAGGGCUAUAAAUAGAUGAUAACCAACUUCUGCUAAACAGAGCUAUAAAUAGAUCAACUACUUCUGCUAAAUAGAG
rnacentral:sRNA from 1 species